UCGUAGAUGUGCAGCGCAGCGCCCCCUUUCCAUCGUAGAACUACCACGCCGCCGGCCGCCGUGCAGCACUUCUCGGUCUCGCCUCCGGCAUGGCCGCCGGGAUGCAAUAGCCCGCCUCGCCUUCGUACUACAACAACCCCCGAGAUGCAACAUGCUCCCUCGCCGGCGGUGGCGGCGGCGCACACGCCGAGCCGGGAGACGGUCGACCUGCUGUCGUCGAUGCCGUCCACGGCCUCGGCCACGACGACCACGGCCAUGCCCGGCGGCCGGGACCACAACCACGACUCCAGUAUUUCUGUAUUUUGGAGUGUUAUGCGUAGUCUGAUGGUGCCUAGUCUAAUGGUGGAAUUGUGUGUGCUAGUACUGUUCCAGAAUGUGCAUGUGUUGUUCUUACCAAGUUUUCUGAAGCAUACCACAUUCAGGCAAGACUGAAGCAUACUGCCACAUUCUGCUUAUUUAACCAUGGUAGUAGACUACUAGUAGUUUGCUUACCACAUUCAGGCUAGAUUACUGCAUGUGUAUGCAUUGGGAGUAGCCUUAUCAGGAUGCUAAUUGGUGUGUCAUGUCUAUGCUUCACAGCUUCAGUAUAGAGACUUGAUUAUAUGUGCUCUGCUUUGAUCUUUAACGCCUAGCUUUUAAUUUCUAAAUCAAAAUCAUAGACAUAUGCUAUGCUAAAAGACUUCUGUUUUGCAUGCUCCUGUUCCGCACGGUAUAACACAAUCUUAUUUCAUUUAAUAUUUUAAGCCUUUCUGCAAGGUACACAACUUGCUCGCUACAGAGGAAAGAGAUGAUGCACAUUACUCCUUUCUGCAAGUAAAGAAAGGAUAUGUUCUCAUAACAAGGAUUGGAAGUAUAACAUCUUACAAAAACCAAUAUGGACAACACAGAUCUGGAACUCAAGAACAACUUGGUACUCAUGUAGCUGCUAAUGACAUGUGUGCACUGGACGAAUGGCCAACUCGGGUAGAGGGCCAGCGCGCUGUAUGCCUAUAUGUGCGUGGUGCCUGGGGUUUGGCUGAGAGCGAGAGCGUUGGUUGUUUUGGGUCAAAGUGUUGUUGGGACAUUUUUUUCCUUCUCUGGCCCAUCUAUAUAGGUAUAGGCCGGGUCAAAAUCCCAGGGUGGGCCGCGGCCCACCCUGGCCACCCUGUAGCUCCGCCACUGAUGGCCAUCCCAUGCUCGCCGCAACAGUGCACAACUAUAGAAUGAAAGUGAUGGACAGAAUAAGAAAGGCGAGGUGUACUUUUCGUAUUUAGGACAAAGCAUUUAAAGAGGUUCAAAACAAAGAAAAUGAAACUGAAGGUCAAGUUUCCAGUGAACAUAGAAGCAAUAUUUUCCAGACCGCAUAGAAAGGCACUCCGCAAUGCAACUCAUCACAGCCUCAUGGGUAUGGAUACAUGGCCAAACCACCAAGUGGUUCUGAAAAGGAUUAAAUCAUAAUUUGAAGAGCAAGCACGUGCUACAACAGAGAUCCAAAAGGUAAACUCUGUGCUCAGCCAUCAGGUCACCGAAUUACAAGAUCAAUUACAAGCUGAACGUGAAAGCACACAAGAGAGGAUUAACUUUGAGCGUGCUGAGAGAGAAAACCUUGAGGAGAGCUUAAAAGAAGAGCGUGCUGAUACGGAAAGAUUGUUGGAAGAGGAGCGAAUAAGAUCAACAUUGAAAUUUGAGAAAGACAUGAUGGCAAAGUUUGCACAGUUAUCCCAACAGACGCAAACACAUCAGAUGAAUAAGAAAAGGACUAGCAAAGAAUUAGUAAUCCAAACUUGCAAAAUACUCUUUUAUAGACCGCUAGUACUACUGGGACUCUAGGUACAAGGCACAAUGUAAUUGCUCCCAAUACGCUCAUACAAGCUGCAACAGUUCGAAUGUUUCGAGCAAUGGUAAGUGGACCCAAAGAUUAACUAGAAUGUACUCUAGACCAUGGACAAUUUACUCUUCGCUCUUAAUUAGGUUGGCACAUUCAGUAUGUUGAAUGUGUGCUAAAUUAUAUUUCAGUUUCAUUUGAUGGAUAUUGGCUAUGCAAAUAUUGAUAUUGUAUGAGUGUACAUCAUAUAUGUAUUAUCUGAAUCAUGUAAUUGAAUGCAUGUAUAUAUUUUUCUGGUUGCAA